CAAGUCGAACGAUGAAGUUCCUUCGGGAAUGGAUUAGUGGCGAACGGGUGAGGAACACGUGAGAAACCUGCCUUUCAUUCUGGGAUAACACCGGGAAACCGGUGCUAAUACCGGAUACUCCAUCUUGGCGGCAUCGCCGAGCUGGGAAAAAAUUUUGAUGAAAGAUGGUCUCGCGGCCUAUCAGCUAGUUGGUGAGGUAAAGGCUCACCAAGGCGACGACGGGUAGCCGGCCUGAGAGGGCGACCGGCCACACUGGGACUGAGACACGGCCCAGACUCCUACGGGAGGCAGCAGUAGGGAAUAUUGGGCAAUGGGCGAAAGCCUGACCCAGCGACGCCGCGUGAGGGAUGAAGGUCUUCGGAUUGUAAACCUCUUUCAGUAGGGAAGAAGCGAAAGUGACGGUACCUAAAGAAGAAGCACCGGCUAACUAUGUGCCAGCAGCCGCGGUAAUACAUAGGGUGCAAGCGUUGUCCGGAAUUAUUGGGCGUAAAGAGCUCGUAGGUCGUUUGUCGCGUCGAUUGUGAAAAUCUGAGGCUCAACCUCAGACCUGCAGUCGAUACGGGCAAACUAGAGUGUGGUAGGGGAGACUGGAAUUCCUGGUGUAGCGGUGGAAUGCGCAGAUAUCAGGAGG
rnacentral:rRNA from 1 species